CAAACUCCAAGCUGCGGCUUGACGUUGGGCGAGGUUGUGCGAGGGAGCACGACCGGCCUGGAACGCGUGGGCGACGGAGGCCGGACCGCGAGCGUAGCAAGACGAGAGUCACCCGCUCGGACGGAUCUGGUGGACGUCAGCCUUGGGCUUCGAGAGCGUGAAAAGUUCUGGAAGCAACGUAUGACAA
rnacentral:misc_RNA from 1 species